rnacentral:rRNA from 1 species
UAGGGAAUCUUCCGCAAUGGACGAAAGUCUGACGGAGCAACGCCGCGUGAGUGAUGAAGGUUUUCGGAUCGUAAAACUCUGUUAUUAGGGAAGAACAAAUGCGUAAGUAACUGUGCGCAUCUUGACGGUACCUAAUCAGAAAGCCACGGCUAACUACGUGCCAGCAGCCGCGGUAAUACGUAGGUGGCAAGCGUUAUCCGGAAUUAUUGGGCGUAAAGCGCGCGUAGGCGGUAUCUUAAGUCUGAUGUGAAAGCCCACGGCUCAACCGUGGAGGGUCAUUGGAAACUGGGAAACUUGAGUACAGAAGAGGAAAGUGGAAUUCCAUGUGUAGCGGUGAAAUGCGCAGAGAUAUGGAGGAACACCAGUGGCGAAGGCGACUUUCUGGUCUGUAACUGACGCUGAUGUGCGAAAGCGUGGGGAUCAAACA